UACGGAGGGUGCGAGCGUUAUUCGGAAUUACUGGGCGUAAAGCGCGCGUAGGCGGCAGGGCAAGUCUGGUGUGAAAGCCCGGGGCUCAACCCCGGAAGUGCAUUGGAAACUGCUCUGCUUGAGUACCGGAGAGGAAGGUGGAAUUCCCGGUGUAGCGGUGAAAUGCGUAGAUAUCGGGAGGAAUACCAGUGGCGAAGGCGCCCUUCUGGACGGUUACUGACGCUGAGACGCGAAAGCGUGGGGAGCAAACAGG
rnacentral:rRNA from 1 species